rnacentral:rRNA from 1 species
GAUGAACGCUGGCGGCGUGCCUAAUACAUGCAAGUCGAACGCUUUUUCUUUCACCGGAGCUUGCUCCACCGAAAGAAAAAGAGUGGCGAACGGGUGAGUAACACGUGGGUAACCUGCCCAUCAGAAGGGGAUAACACUUGGAAACAGGUGCUAAUACCGUAUAACACUAUUUUCCGCAUGGAAGAAAGUUGAAAGGCGCUUUUGCGUCACUGAUGGAUGGACCCGCGGUGCAUUAGCUAGUUGGUGAGGUAACGGCUCACCAAGGCAACGAUGCAUAGCAGACCCGAGAGGGUGAUCGGCCACACUGGGACUGAGACACGGCCCAGACUCCUACGGGAGGCAGCAGUAGGGAAUCUUCGGCAAUGGACGAAAGUCUGACCGAGCAACGCCGCGUGAGUGAAGAAGGUUUUCGGAUCGUAAAACUCUGUUGUUAGAGAAGAACAAGGAUGAGAGUAAAAUGUUCAUCCCUUGACGGUAUCUAACCAGAAAGCCACGGCUAACUACGUGCCAGCAGCCGCAGUAA